UACGUAGGGGGCUAGCGUUGUCCGGAAUCAUUGGGCGUAAAGAGCGUGUAGGCGGCCCGGUAAGUCCGCUGUGAAAGUCGGGGGCUCAACCCUCGAAUGCCGGUGGAUACUGUCGGGCUAGAGUGCGGAAGAGGAGAGUGGAAUUCCUGGUGUAGCGGUGAAAUGCGCAGAUAUCAGGAAGAACACCCGUGGCGAAAGCGGCUCUCUGGAACGGUACUGACGCUGAGACGCGAAAGCGUGGGGAGCGAACAGG
rnacentral:rRNA from 1 species